rnacentral:lncRNA from 1 species
GUGACCGCUUUUGUUUCAGAACAGUCGGUCUGCAGCCCUUCUUUCUCUGAACCGGCCGCGUCCUCUCCAAGCGGAGCCUGAUCACUCCUGUUGGAGAAACAGCGCGCGCUCCGGGCGGGGGCCGGGUCCCGGAGAAGUGUGGGUGUCGGGGACGCGCCCGCAAGCCCGCCCCGGCCCUCACCGCGCCGGGCUUGCUGCCCGCCCUUGACGUCCCGGAGCAGAGACAGAGGACCCUCCCCGGGUGCGCCGUCCUGUGAGAGGCGAAGCUGGACGGGAUGGCAGUGCUCCUGCGAAGCCCCGUGAGACUGCGCAGCACUGCCUCCUGCAUCCGGAGACAAAGCACCUUGCAGGCAUCGAGCCGGAGCGUCACGGCCCACCGUGAACCUGGGGGCUCAGGGUGGAAACCUCAUGCCCACCACGAAGGGGGUUGGGAGGAGGAGGGCAGCCGCCGGCCCGGAGCGCGGGGGCGCGCCAAAGAGACGGUUGCAGUGCGGCCAGACCUCGCGUCUCCCCACGCAGACGAGUGCGCAGCACCGUCGCCUGCAUGUCUGAUUUUCUCGAAUUAGCAGUGAUUUUUUGAUGUUCUGACUUCCUGGUCUUUGUUGCCAAAAACUCCUGUACAUCCUGGCUCCCCACUUGCCUCUCAGGCGCGGUCUCUCAGAUGGACCUGAGAUGCCGUGUCCUGGGCUCAAAGCCUGUUUUGUCCCCCAAAUAAAACAAAGAUCUCAACUUGUAGGUCAUGUAUUUUUUCCAGUGGCCACCUGUACCAAGGGGCGGUGUGUGCAGGGCAGUGUGCACAGGGCAGUAUACACAGCAGCCCGGAGCCGGUUCCAGUCCCAGGGCUGCUGCUCCUUGUGGAAACGUGCCUGAGAAACUCGGACUUACAGGCCAUGAGGCACAGAAAAGCAGGGCCAAGACUCAGGAACCCCCACUAGUGGCGUCUGAUGAGGGUGCAGGUGUCUGGUCGAGGCGUGAGGUGCCAGCAGGGGCAGCUGCUGGGCUGUGGACGAGGAGGGUCCAGGUCCGGCCAUGCAGCCCCGCGG